rnacentral:lncRNA from 13 species
CUGGAAGAUAAUAUUUGAGGAAGUGAAGGAGACUGGAUUGGGAAGAGCAAGAAGCUAACCAGUAACGUGAUUGCACAGGAGACAUUACAGAAUCAUACAGGAAAACAUCAACAUAUAGAAUUUUCUGAUUUGUUGAGUAUGCUGCAUUCUAAAG